AGAGUUUGAUUAUGGCUCARAUUGAACGCUGGCGGCAUGCCUUACACAUGCAAGUCGAACGGUAACAGGUCUUCGGAUGCUGACGAGUGGCGAACGGGUGAGUAAUACAUCGGAACGUGCCUAGUAGUGGGGGAUAACUACUCGAAAGAGUGGCUAAUACCGCAUGAGAUCUACGGAUGAAAGCAGGGGAUCGCAAGACCUUGUGCUACUAGAGCGGCCGAUGGCAGAUUAGGUAGUUGGUGGGAUAAAAGCUUACCAAGCCGACGAUCUGUAGCUGGUCUGAGAGGACGAUCAGCCACACUGGGACUGAGACACGGCCCAGACUCCUACGGGAGGCAGCAGUGGGGAAUUUUGGACAAUGGGCGCAAGCCUGAUCCAGCAAUGCCGCGUGCAGGAUGAAGGCCUUCGGGUUGUAAACUGCUUUUGUACGGAACGAAAAGCCCUGGGUUAAUACCCUGGGGUCAUGACGGUACCGUAAGAAUAAGCACCGGCUAACUACGUGCCAGCAGCCGCGGUAAUACGUAGGGUGCGAGCGUUAAUCGGAAUUACUGGGCGUAAAGCGUGCGCAGGCGGUUUUGUAAGACAGAGGUGAAAUCCCCGGGCUCAACCUG
rnacentral:rRNA from 1 species